CGAAGGGUGGUAGCAAACAGGAUUUGAUACCUGGUAGUCACGCCGUUAAUGAUGUUGAUUAGCCGUUUGGGGUCCUUGAGACUUGUGGGCGCAGUUAACGCACUAACUCGUCCGCAUGGGGAGUACCGGCUGCAAGGUUAAAACUUCAACUGAAUUGACGGGAACCGCACAAGCGGUGGAGCAUGUGGUUUAAUUCGAUGCAACGCGAAGAACCUUUACCUUACCCUUGACAUCGUGCGAACUUGGUAGAGAUACAUUGGUGCGUUCGGGAACGCUCAGACAGGUGCUGCAUGGCUGUCGUCAGCUUGUGUUGUGAAAUGUUGGAUUUAAGUCCCGUAACGAGCGCAACCCAUUGUCCAUAUUUGCCAGCGAUUCGGUCGGGAACUCUAGGGAGACUGCCGGUGACAAACCGGAGGAAGGUGGGGACGACGUCAAGUCAUCAUGGCCCUUACGGGUAGGGCUACACACGUGCUACAAUGGCCGGUACAAUGGGUUGCAAAGCGGCGACGUGGAGCUAAUCCCAUAAAGCCGGUCUCAGUCCGGAUCGGAGUCUGCAACUCGACUCCGUGAAGUCGGAAUCGCUAGUAAUCGUGCAUCAGAAUGGCACGGUGAAUACGUUCCCGGGCCUUGUACACACCGCCCGUCACUCCAUGGGUGUGGACUGCACCAGAAGUGGUUAGCCUAACUUCGGAGGGCGACA
rnacentral:rRNA from 1 species